rnacentral:rRNA from 1 species
GUGAAAUUCCGUCGGAAUCUGGGAGGACCAUCUCCUAAGGCUAAAUACUCUCUAGUGACCGAUAGUGAACCAGUACCGUGAGGGAAAGGUGAAAAGCACCCCGGAAGGGGAGUGAAAUAGAACCUGAAACCGUGUGCUUACAAGUAGUCAGAGCCCGUUAAUGGGUGAUGGCGUGCCUUUUGUAGAAUGAACCGGCGAGUUACGAUUUGAUGCAAGGUUAAGCAGUAAAUGUGGAGCCGUAGCGAAAGCGAGUCUGAAUAGGGCGUUUAGUAUUUGGUCGUAGACCCGAAACCAGGUGAUCUACCCUUGGUCAGGUUGAAGUUCAGGUAACACUGAAUGGAGGACCGAACCGACUUACGUUGAAAAGUGAGCGGAUGAACUGAGGGUAGCGGAGAAAUUCCAAUCGAACCUGGAGAUAGCUGGUUCUCUCCGAAAUAGCUUUAGGGCUAGCCUCAAGUGAUGAUUAUUGGAGGUAGAGCACUGUUUGGACGAGGGGCCCCUCUCGGGUUACCG